UUAUCUGUGACCGAAUGCCUGGAAACACGCAUUGUUGUGUCUGCUGCCGUUACACGAGGGCUGUCAGCGCGGAGCCUGCGAGUGCUGGGCAGGCAGCAGGGAAGCCGGAGCGGUGCAGGACUCGAUCCAAAGGCUAUCCAAGUCAUCGGGAAGCAUCACGUUGGCUCCUGCAGCCUUCGGCGAAGACACAACUCCUUUCACUGUAACCGCAUCUGAGCCCCUGCAACAGGCGUUACUUAAUAACCCUGAGUAGCGAAACAGAAGAAAAUUUCUUUGAAAGUAUGUGCCAAUCUCCCAAAUAGCAUUUCCAGCAAAAAAGGCCGCUUAACAGCUACUACCGCUGCAGACAGAAAAGGAAAAUGAGGCCUUCCUCACCUCUCCAGUGCCACGGCGCAACUAGUGCCGGGAAAUGGCUCUGAAAUCGAGGCACAGGCUUUCACCACUGCUUGUUCCAGCUACAAAGAAUGUAUGAGGCUUUCAGACAUUGGGAAGAUACUCAUUAAGAGGGUGAAAUCCAGAGCAGAGGCUGUACAGCGCCUUGGGCAGCACCUGGGAGUUCCAGUGUUUCUUCUGUUUCUUCUUAAUGUGACGAAACCUGAGCAUGAAUGGGAAGAGUUCAUUCGUAAUGCGGCCAGCCCCUGCGGUGUCGAGCUGAGAAAGUCUGCGGUUGUUAUUUCCUCCUGUGGGGUGUUUGUGGAUGACCAUCGCUGUCCUGAGAGCACCAGCCUGCGCAGCAGACAGCACGGUGUGUCCGGGCAGACAGCAGGCAGUGUCUGGGCAAACGUCGUGGUGUGUCCUGCUCGUGGCCAUGCCCAGGUGAGGAGGGCUCAGGGCACCGUUUCCUGCUGGCACUGUCUGGCAGGGGGGGUUUUGCGGCAGGGAUGGGUGCUCGUGCUCUUUGGCUUCCAGUUCUCAGUGGAAAAAGACGAGCGUGGGUCUCCCCCAGCUGAUGUGCCCCAAGGGGCCUCACUUGUGAGCUUGUCAGACAUGCGGCUAGGAAUCAGCUGUAGCAAUCCACCCACACAACUCAAGCAACAUGAGGAAAAACUCAUUAUUCAAUACCUUAUUUCAUGCUCUGGAAACAAGAGCAACAACCCCAGCACUUCCUCCCCUUACAGCAGUGCGGUUUCCAUCAGUCUUUUCAAGUCCUAA
rnacentral:lncRNA from 1 species